GACGAACGCUGGCGGCGUGCCUAACACAUGCAAGUCGAACGGAGCCAAGGAAAUGAGACCUUCGGGAGGAUUUUCCGGAAGCUUAGUGGCAGACGGGUGAGUAACGCGUGAGUAACCUGCCUUUCAGAGGGGAAUAACACACCGAAAGGUGUGCUAAUACCGCAUAACACAUUAGUAUCGCAUGAUACAGAUGUCAAAGAUUUAUCGCUGAAAGAUGGACUCGCGUCUGAUUAGAUAGUUGGUGAGGUAACGGCUCACCAAGUCGACGAUCAGUAGCCGGACUGAGAGGUUGAACGGCCACAUUGGGACUGAGACACGGCCCAGACUCCUACGGGAGGCAGCAGUGGGGGAUAUUGCGCAAUGGGGGGAACCCUGACGCAGCAACGCCGCGUGAAGGAAGAAGGCCUUCGGGUUGUAAACUUCUUUAGUUAGGGACGAAGAACGUGACGGUA
rnacentral:rRNA from 1 species